rnacentral:snRNA from 1 species
AAGCAUUGUGUUUCCUCUCAUUCA